AGCAGUCCCAGGGCUCUUAAAAGGAAGUAGUAAGGUUGUGUUUGUUCCUUUUACUUCCGUCUUUUGAUUUUGGGGAAAGGUGGCGUGGAAGGUAGAGUGGCAUGUAGAUGUUACUUUGGGGAUAUGAGCGCAGAUAAUCAUUGCCGCCAAAUACCGCGGGAGCGUUGCUGAGAACUGAGAAUAUGAUGUACCGACUAUUAGUAGGUAGAAGUCUGGUCAUAUUGAUUUUGUUUAUAGGUGUUUUGUUUUAAUUAAAUUAUCUGCCUUUUUAUUUUAGUGGUGUGACUGGAUUAUUGCCUGACUGUGGCCUGACCAUCUUGUCGAAAUAGUGGAUGUGAAAGGGAUGCAUGGUUACCGUUUACUUUAUGGUUAAGAUAUUGUUUUGUUUC